rnacentral:rRNA from 2 species
GGUUCCUUAGAUCGUACAUGCUACAUGGAUAACUGUAGUAAUUCUAGAGCUAAUACAUGCCACUAUGCCCUGACCCGCAAGGGAACGGGUGGAUUUAUUAGAACAGAACCAACCGGGAGCGACUUGUCGUUCCUGUUGCACUCUGUGAUGACUCUGGAUAACUUUACUGAUCGCAGUCGGCCUUGUGUCGGCGACGGAUCUUUCAAAUGUCUGCCCUAUCAACUUUCGAUGGUAGGUGAUCUGCCUACCAUGGUGAUAACGGGUAACGGGGAAUCAGGGUUCGAUUCCGGAGAGGGAGCCUGAGAAACGGCUACCACAUCCAAGGAAGGCAGCAGGCGCGAAAAUUACCCACUCCCGGCACGGGGAGGUAGUGACGAAAAAUACGAAUACGGGACUCACUCGAGGCUCCGUAAUUCGAAUGAGUACAAUCUAAAUCCUUUAACGAGGACCAAUUGGAGGGCAAGUCUGGUGCCAGCAGCCGCGGUAACUCCAGCUCCAAAAGCGUAUAUUAAAGUUGCUGCAGUUAAAAAGCUCGUAGUUGGAUCUGGGUCGCGCGUUCACGUGUCGUUACGUGGUUCUGACYUCGGUCAGUUCUAUGUGAUGAUGAGGUGGUCGUGCAGCCUUUCAGCCGUGUCUGCGUGAGCAGGUGUUGGCUGGUCGGUGGGCUUGCUCGCUGGCUAGUUGGCAUGUUUC